rnacentral:sRNA from 1 species
UUGUCUCUCGAGCUCAGAAGCGAGCGAG